AAGGUGGGAGGGGCUUGAGCGGGUAUUGAGUUUGGUUUUAUCAUUGAGUGUAGUGGAGGACCCGACUGCAGAAUAGGCUCCCUCCUCUCCUCUCCACUCCUCUCACUCGACUCUAGAGCUCUACUUUGUCCCGUCGUGAUCCACAGGGCACAACCAUGGAGGAAAUGGACUUUGAGCGGCGCAGGGAGUUGAGGAGACAGAAGCGGGAAGAGAUGCGCCUGGAGGCAGAGAGGAUGGCAAGGAAUGAUGAUGAUGAAGAGGAGGCGGCCCGUGAGAGGAGGCGCAGGGCACGCCAGGAGAGGAUGAAGAGCAGGGAGAGCGAGGAGCCCAGCGGCCAGUCGGAGAGCCUGGUUAUGACAAACAGCCACAGUGUCACAGAGACUGUGUCUGUGAGCAGCUCUUAUGGAGGCGGUGGAGAUGACGAGGACCAAGCCCUACUGGACCGCAUGGCCAAACGUGAGGAGAGACGGCAGAGGCGCAUGAAGGAGGCGCUGGAGAGACAGAGACAGCUGGACCCCACUGAGACGGAGGGCAACGACAGCGCCGCCACGGAGAAAAACAGCGCAGAAGAGGAGAGGCCCUCCUCCUGGCGUAGGGGACGUUACCGUGACAAUGACGACGAGGCUGAGAAGAUGGAAACCUAUAGCUCGAGAAGAGAGGAGGAGAAGGAGCGAGAGGAGCCGAGGGAGGAAGAGCAGGCUGCCCCUGAGGGGGGAGAGGAAGAAGCGGAGGGGGUAGAUGAAGAGGAGGAGCAGCCAGUUGCAGUUAUGGAGGACAAGCCGAGAAGGUCUUACUUGAGAGACCAGGCGUCAGCUGAAGAGCCUAAAAUGCAAAACAAGGACUUCACCGAAGAAGAAAGACAUUCGGUAGUCAGUGAAAGUUCAAAUCAGGCCAAGUCAUCAAAUUCAGAGACUGGGGAGGAUACAGUAGCAUCAGGGGAAGCUGAAGAGGUACCUGAGGAUGAUAAUGUAGAUAAUUCACAGGGGAACAAGCCUAUGUUACUAAGAAAUGACAGUGAAGAGGACUUUGAGGUAUCUGAGAUACUGCAAUCAGAAGAUAAUGAGGUGAAUGAGCCCAGAGAGGAGAGGGAGGAUCAGAGGAAGCACAACGGAGGGCUGCAUGAGGAGGCGCCUCCCAAACAGCACAGGAAACCUGAGAGGACCACCAGCCGCGGCAGCGUGCGCUCCCCCGAGCCUUCUGCGGGUGAUGACCCGGACGAGGACGCCCGCCUGGAGGCGGAGCGCAAGCUGGAGGAGCUGAAGCGGCGUCGCGAUGACGCGGAGAGCGAGGAGUUUGAGAGGAUGAGGCAGAAGCAGCAGGAGGCCGAAGCUGAGCUGGAGGAGCUGAAAAGGAAGAGGGAGGAGAGGAGAAAGGUGCUGGAGGAGGAGGAGAGGCAGAGGAAGCAGGAAGAGGCAGAAAGGAAAGCCAAAGAGGAGGAGGAGAAGAGGAAGAUGAAAGAGGAGAUCGAAAGGAGGAGAGCAGAGGCGGCUGAGAAGAGACAGAAGGUGGAUGACACUAUGGAUGGAGAGGGCAAACCAUUUAAGUGUCUCAGCCCUCGAGGAUCCUCUCUGAAGAUUGAGGAGAGAGCCGAGUUUCUAAACAAGUCAGCACAGAAAAGCACAAUGAAGACGUCUCAUUGUCCUGUGGUGUCCAAGAUAGACAACAGGCUGGAGCAGUACACCUCAGCUGCUCAGAGAGAGAACAAGGAGUCACGAUCCCCUCGCUCCGGAGCCGUGGAUCUGCCCAUGGUCACCGACAGCAUACGAAACAUCAAGAGCAUGUGGGAGAAAGGCAACGUGUUCAGCUCGCCUGGAAGCGGCGGGAGCACAUUCAAGGAAGCAGCUGUGAUAAAGACAGGCGUAGCGGGCCGCAUCAACGACUGGCUGAAUAAAACCCCAGAGGGCAGCAAGACAUCAGGAGGAAGGCCAGUGGACCUGAAGCCUGUUGACGUCACCAACAAGAGGAGUCUAUGGGAAAACAAAGGCGCCUCUCCGGCCAAGAACUCUGAUAGCUAGUUGACCUCACCGGUAAAUCUGGAAUAAGCCUGGAGAGGUGGCAGGCAGAGGGGAGAGCAAAUCAGUUGCUAAUGGUAUGGGACACUAAUGUCUUGAAGGAGCCACUAAAGCUGGGGACCACGACAAUCCAAGACUCUUCUUUGACUUUUCCUUAAGAACCAAAUACAACACCCCCAGGAGGGACCCCCAAGAGCACGCAGGGACAGGACAGACACUGUCUGAGCACUGUACCGAAACAGCAUCAGCAUAUUGUUAUAGGCUUACCACGUAUAGUGCCUUUGCACAAUAAUUUCUGCUUUCUAAAAAAAAAAAGUAUGAUAACAACAAAAUGCUGUGAAAUUUGGACAUUUUAAAUUACUACUUUAUAAAAUCCUGCCAGGAAAACAAAAAAACUAAUAGAAUUAAGAUUUAUGUCUCGUACUCCGUGCUGAGUGGAUGAGUUUAAAAGUUUCCACAUUCCAAAGAGAUGGGUGAUAUCACUUCUCUCCCUCAGAAUAUUUUCCAUCUCUCUCUUUUUUUAUUUAUAUUUAAAGCAAAAGCUUCACACAAUGCUAUAUUAUUCAACGUUCACCUGUUCAGGAUAGAAAUAUAAGCACUUCUAGAGUUUAGCUGAUUUCACUUUUAUUGUCUUACCAAUAGUGCAGCAAUGGUCUGAGUAAUAUAUGCUAGCACAUGUGAUGUUUUGACUAUGACCUAUCAUACAGUAUCAUAUAUAACAUCUGUAUACUCAUAACAAAAGGUAUUUUUUGCUUUUUUUUUAUUCAUUCACCAACAGGCAGUUAAUUUUGAAGGUGAUGGGAGUGUUGGAUAUUCAGAAGGCCAUUUUGACAUUUAUUAUCCUUUCAUGUCAUUUCUUUUUUAAUUUAUGUUUUAAUGUUUUUUUUUUAGUUCUUUCUAGCUUUCGAACACUUUAAAACAUCUUCAGACAUUCCCCUUAAAGCAGUUGCACGUGGUGCCUUUGCUGCCUUAAAGUUUUAUAAUGUAGGACAUGUUUUUUUUUAAUCUGCCUUUAACUUCUUUUUUGCCUCUAUGCACACUCUUAUGCUCAGCAAUACUUUACAUAUUGAGGGCAUACAAAGUAAAAUCAGGGUGCCUAAACAUAUAGCAAGGUCAUAGUAACAAGCAUAUUUACCACUAUGUAAAACUUCUGGCCUUAUGAUUGCAAUGACAGCAUUUAGGACAGCCGAGGUACAGUACUUUAAAGCCUCCUAGCAGCUCAGCAUGAUUUUGAGACUUGUGAUUUUUCACGUUUUCGCGCAGCACAAGCUUAUAAGAAUAUGAACUGUUUGUCAGGGCAUUAAAUUGAUCGAUGUUACUGCUCAACAAUCUGACAAUCACAUUCCAUGGCUUCUGAAAAGAGCAGGGGAGCUGGACCAAAAUAUUUUUAAGCAUGAUAAAAUGUGACGUUUUUGUAUUUUUUUUUAAUGUAAUGGUUUCAUAAUGUUGUGUUUUGUUUUGUUUUCUACAGCCUUGUGUCCAUUUUUAAAAUUUCCAUGUUUAACCAGACACUUGUUUCUUGUGUGGCGCUAAGCCUAUGCAGAAUACACGAUCUGUAGUCUCUCUCCAAAUGUCAUACAAGCAGGCAUUUUCCAAGCGGAGGAAUGUGUUGAACAUUGUAACCUUGACUCAACAACAGCAAUAAAUACAUUGAGGUAUUCCA